ACGGGAGUGCGGGCUGCCUCGGGCGCCCAACCUCCCACCCGUGACUACCUAACACUGUUGCUUCGGCGGGGAGCCCUCUCGGGGGCGAGCCGCCGGGGACUACUGAACUUCAUGCCUGAGAGUGAUGCAGUCUGAGUCUGAAUAUAAAAUCAGUCAAAACUUUCAACAAUGGAUCUCUUGGUUCCGGCAUCGAUGAAGAACGCAGCGAACUGCGAUAAGUAAUGUGAAUUGCAGAAUUCAGUGAAUCAUCGAGUCUUUGAACGCACAUUGCGCCCCCUGGCAUUCCGGGGGGCAUGCCUGUCCGAGCGUCAUUGCUGCCCAUCAAGCCCGGCUUGUGUGUUGGGUCGUCGUCCCCCCCGGGGGACGGGCCCGAAAGGCAGCGGCGGCACCGUGUCCGGUCCUCGAGCGUAUGGGGCUUUGUCACCCGCUCGAUUAGGGCCGGCCGGGCGCCAGCCGACGUCUCCAACCAUUUUCUUCAGGUUGACCUCGGAUCAGGUAGGGAUACCCGCUGAACUUAAGCAUAUCAAUAAGCGGAGGAAUCAU
rnacentral:rRNA from 1 species